rnacentral:rRNA from 1 species
AGAGUUUGAUCCUGGCUCAGGAUGAACGCUAGCGGCAGGCUUAACACAUGCAAGUCGAGGGGUAACGAUAGUGCUUGCACUAGGCGACGACCGGCGCACGGGUGAGUAUCGCGUUUGUAACCUACCCUUAACUGGAGAAUAGCCCAAAGAAAUUUGGAUUAAUACCCCAUAAUAUUUCUUAGAGGCAUCUCUUUAAUGUUAAAGUUCCGGCGGUUAAAGAUGGGCAUGCGUGCCAUUAGAUAGUUGGUGAGGUAACGGCUCACCACCAAGUCUACGAUGUCUAGGGGGCCUGAGAGGGUUGUCCCCCACACUGGUACUGAGACACGGACCAGACUCCUACGGGAGGCAGCAGUGAGGAAUAUUGGUCAAUGGACGCAAGUCUGAACCAGCCAUGCCGCGUGCAGGAAGACGGCACUACGUGUUGUAAACUGCUUUUACACGGGAAUAAACUUCACUACGUGUAGUGAACUGAAUGUACCGUAUGAAUAAGCACCGGCUAACUCCGUGCCAGCAGCCGCGGUAAUACGGAGGGUGCAAGCGUUAUCCGGAUUUAUUGGGUUUAAAGGGUGCGUAGGCGGAAGAAUAAGUCAGUGGUGAAAUCUUGCAGCUUAACUGUAAAACUGCCAUUGAUACUGUUUUUCUUGAGUAUAGUUGAGGUAGGCGGAAUGUAUAAUGUAGCGGUGAAAUGCUUAGAUAUUAUACAGAACACCGAUUGCGUAGGCAGCUUACUAAGCUAUAACUGACGCUGAGGCACGAAAGCGUGGGGAGCGAACAGGAUUAGAUACCCUGGUAGUCCACGCCGUAAACGAUGAACACUCGUUGUCUGCAAUAUACUGUAGGCGACUGAGCGAAAGCAUUAAGUGUUCCACCUGGGGAGUACGUUCGCAAGAAUGAAACUCAAAGGAAUUGACGGGGGCCCGCACAAGCGGAGGAACAUGUGGUUUAAUUCGAUGAUACGCGAGGAACCUUACCCGGGUUUAAAUGUAGGACGAAACUCUGAGAGAUCGGAGCCUCUUCGGACGGACUACAAGGUGCUGCAUGGUUGUCGUCAGCUCGUGCCGUGAGGUGUCGGGUUAAGUCCCAUAACGAGCGCAACCCCUAUCGUUAGUUGCCAGCGGAUAAUGCCGGGGACUCUAGCGAGACUGCCACCGUAAGGUGAGAGGAAGGUGGGGAUGACGUCAAAUCAGCACGGCCCUUAUGUCCAGGGCUACACACGUGUUACAAUGGCAGGUACAAAGGGCAGCUACACAGCGAUGUGAUGCUAAUCUCUAAAGCCUGUCCCAGUUCGGAUUGGAGUCUGCAACCCGACUCCAUGAAGUUGGAUUCGCUAGUAAUCGGAUAUCAGCAAUGAUCCGGUGAAUACGUUCCCGGGCCUUGUACACACCGCCCGUCAAACCAUGGAAGCUGGGGGUACCUGAAGUCUGUGACCGCAAGGAGCGGCCUAGGGUAAAACUGGUAACUAGGGUUAAGUCGUAACAAGGUAGCC